UACAGGGGGGGCAAGCGUUGUUCGGAAUUACUGGGCGUAAAGGGCCUGUAGGCGGCCAACUAAGUCCGACGUGAAAUCCCCAGGCUCAACCUGGGAACUGCGUCGGAUACUGGAUGGCUUGAAUUCGGGAGAGGGAUGCAGAAUUCCAGGUGUAGCGGUGAAAUGCGUAGAUAUCUGGAGGAAUACCGGUGGCGAAGGCGGCAUCCUGGACCGACAUUGACGCUGAAAGGCGAAAGCUAGGGGAGCAAACAGG
rnacentral:rRNA from 1 species